AACGAACGCUGGCGGCAUGCCUAACACAUGCAAGUCGAACGAGACCUUCGGGUCUAGUGUCGCACGGGUGCGUAACGCGUGGGAACCUGCCCUUAGGUUCGGAAUAACUCCCCGAAAGGGGUGCUAAUACCGGAUAAUGUCUUCGGACCAAAGAUUUAUCGACUUUGGAUGGGCCCGCGUCGGAUUAGCUAGUUGGUAGGGUAAAAGCCUACCAAGGCGACGAUCCAUAGCUGGUCUGAGAGGAUGGGCAGCCACACUGGGACUGAGACACGGCCCAGACUCCUACGGGAGGGAGCAGUGGGGAAUAUUGGACAACGGGCGAAAGCCUGAUCCAGCAAUGCCGCGUGAGUGAUGAAGGCCUUAGGGUUGUAAAGCUCUUUUACCCGGGAUGAUAAUGACGGUACCGGGAGAAUAAGCUCCGGCUAACUCCGUG
rnacentral:rRNA from 1 species